AGAAAUUCGAUUCCAAGAGGUAUUGGAUUAAAUCGAAACAAUGACAUAAGUGGUCGAUCAUAAUUUACUAUAUACUAAAGAUGAGUUCCACUGUGCCACUGUUCCUAAGGCAACAGUAAGGAACAGUUCAGGGGCUUAGGAACAGUCAGGAACAGUUCAUGGGGCAGGAAAGGAAGGGCUACAGUAGAGAACAGUGCGUGAGGGACAGAAGAGACGGUUUUGUCCUCAGCUGAUAAUUUUUUUCCGUUUAUGCCGCUGACCCAAGUAUACCAGAUGGUUCCAUCGGUUUCUUCUUUCUUCUAUUGUGUUCUGUUGUUCAUAUAUACCAAAACGAUCGAGGAUCUUCGGGAAGCCUCCAUUUUCACUGACUGCAACUAUUCUACUGUUUCGAAUUUUACUAUCAAGAUCGACAGUGAUGAAAUCAAGCCGUGUAACCAAAUUUGAAAGAGUGGGUUUGUUUCUUUUCGGCUUGCCAUCUUCCGGGAUUUGGAUUUGUAUGAUCAAUCGAUUUCUUCUUUCUUUUUACAAUCGUAUAACCUGGAUUGAGACGGAAUUCACUAUUAUCAGUUCUGGGCAUAUGUAGAAGAGUAUUUUAUGGGUUAUCUUUUGUGGGUGGAAAUUGAGAUUGCAAGUUGAAGAGUGAAGAAAGCUUCUGGUGGCACAGAGAAGAAUCCAUCAAUCUUGCUGCAAAUGGAAGCAAACCACGAGGUCCCAUCAAGUUCUAUGCUUUUAACCUUAAUCAUGUGAAGAAAGAGCAGCAAAACGGAAAGAGUUCUUUAAGAGGCUGGAAGAAAAGAAAAGGGGAGAGGCAUAAAGUAAGCAGCUGCAAAUGAGAGAUCUAACAGGAUGCUUGAAGGAUAUCCACCACUUUCAAAUUAUGAGCCUCAUGAAGUAGCCAAAUUUGUUGUAGGACACACCCCUGAACUGAAAAAGUAAGCCAAUAUUAUCUCAGACUGAAGCAUUUUCUUUUUGGUCAUGGCCUUUGUUGAAUUCUCUGUAGUCAGAUUCUUAUUUACACUAAAUGCAUGACCUUUUACCGGCUUUUUUCUCCGACUUUAGGUAAAUGAUGUUCCACGAAAUAUGGUUAAAGUAUCUAUCUCCUCUUUUGCAUAUCUCAAGAAUGAGAAAAAGUUGUUUUUAUGUUUGAAUGACUGGAGUUGUAUCAUUCAGAUAAUGCAACUGCAAGGGCAUAUGUCCUUGGUGAGUGAUGCAAAGGCUGUAAAAUCCCUUACACCAGCAAUAAUGUAUAGCCACACCGUUUAAAAACAAAUGAUGAAAUGAAAGUGGCUGAAUUGGAAGCUAACUUGGCAGUGAGACGAGCAAAAUUGAAGGCCUCACUUACUGGCAAGUCUUCCAAGCUACGAACACUUUGGUGACCAAAUUUGAUAUGCUGAACUUGGUUUCUUCCCAUGUUGCAGAGAAGGAAAAAAGAUUAUGUUUUAAAUCUUUUAGAGCAUGGCACUGGCACUUUCACCCAUAGCUUAUGAACUAUAAUAUGUAAAAGGUUUCUAGUAAACCAUUUAUAGUUGUCUAACAGUGAUUGUAAGUAAGAAUAUUCUUAUAAUCCCAGUGGUUUGUCUCAUAUUAUGUAAAGUCAAUGCAGUACUAUAAAAACCGCAGCAACGCGCGGGGAGCUGUUUCUAGUUUCUCUACAAACUUUAAGUUUGGAGAUCUCAACAAGCUCCAAGCUUGGAGAGAGCACAAACCCCCAUAGUUCGGCUUAAUUAGGUCUCCCCUAUCAAGAAGAAAGGGGGAUAAAAGAUGAGAGGUUGCAAGUCCCUGAAGAAAAAGAAGAGAAAAGGAAUAAAAACAAAAAAAAAACAGGAACUUUAAAACAUACCUCUAAUUCGGGUUUCCGGUGUGGCUACGGUGUGGCGCUCUGUGGCAGCGAGGGAUGGUGGCGCGGUGAUGGGACGCGGCGACACACGGCGGGAAGAAGGCUAGUGCGGGCUAGGAGCGGCGAUCUAGGGUUUUAGGAUUUUUGGUUUUUGGAAUUUCAGGGUUAGGGAUUUGCGCUGAUAACGUGUUUUAGGAAAAUUGAUAUUGGAAAAGAAUUGAGUCGUGCUUUCAUUGAUAAUAGGGGUCUUUUUAUAUAAAAGAUAACAAGCAUAAAAUCAGACUUGUACAUGGAAAUGUAAUAGUAUAAUGAUUGGAUAU